rnacentral:rRNA from 1 species
GAUGAACGCUGGCGGCGUGCCUAGUACAUGCAAGUCGAGCGAACAGACGAGGAGCUUGCUCCUCUGACGUUAGCGGCGGACGGGUGAGUAACACGUGGAUAACCUACUUAUAAGUCUGGGAUAACUUCGGGAAGCCGGAGCUACUACCGGAUAAUAUAUUGUACCGCAUGGUUCAAUAGUGAAAGACGGUUUUGCCGUCACUUAUAGCUGGAUCCGCGCCGCAUUAGCUAGUUGGUAAGGUAACGGCUUACCAAGGCGACGAUGCGUAGCCGACCUGAGAGGGUGAUCAGCCACACUGGAACUGAGACACGGUCCAGACUCCUACGGGAGGCAGCAGUAGGGAAUCUUCCGCAAUGGGCGAAAGCCUGACGGAGCAACGCCGCGUGAGUGAUGAAGGUCUUCGGAUCGUAAAGCUCUGUUAUUGGGGAAGAACAAAUGUGUAAGUAACUCUGCACGUCUUGACGGUACCUAAUCAGAAAGCCACGGCUAACUACGUG